rnacentral:lncRNA from 1 species
CUUUUCCCUGGGAAGUCCGACGCUGGGGGCUGGGUGCGGUGUUGGCCUCGCGGGGGUGGGAGUUCUUCGGUACCGGGGUUUUUCCUCGGAAACCCCUUACUCUCUCUCUCUGUCCUUUUUUUUUUUUCUUUGGCUUUGUCGACCCUGUCUCCAACCUUCUCAGACUUUGGGUGGGCACUCUGCAUGUUUCCUCUUGGGUCCUGGAUAGGAUAUUCUCCAUCGUGACCCCUCUGGGGGUUCUUCUUGCGGUGCAAAGCCUGGCUGGGGUCAUCGUGGUCAGUCUGGGGAUCUCCAGAGUCUGCCUCAGAAACACUCUCUGCAUCUUGUCUUGCCACCUCCCAAGGCCGCAGGUGUGCGAUGCGAUCUUUCUGUCCCCUGUGCUUGCCUUGGCUCUUCACUCUCUCGCGUGAUCCAGUGCUCCUCCGCUUGGCUGCACUCGUUCGGUCCCCGUGGGUUCACGUUUCCUUCCGCGGCGCCUCUCCUGUUCCUCAACCCUUCUGCUCAGCUCGUGGCUUUUGUUCUGCUUAAGUCACGGACACCCCUCUUUUCCGGUUCCUUGGUUGGCUUGGUUUGGUUUUUCAAUUCAGAAGAGAGACUGACCCUUCCCUAUCAAGACCGAGCACUUCCCUUCCUAGUCUCGCCCCGGCGCCUUUCCCGGACGCUCGUCCCUCCCCCUGCACCCCCUCCAGCAGCCUGUCUCUCGGCAUCAUUCACGUUCAGGGACAACGCGCCGCUUUUCCCUCGGGGAUCCGACGACUUCCGGUGGCCGUGCCCAGAGGUGGGGUGCUGCCCUUGCCGCCUCUUGGAACACGACGGGAGGGGCCCGAGCCCCCGAAAGGCCUGGAGAAGACCCUUCCUGACCAUCACACGAGCCUAGAAGAGACUGCUUCUUCUCCAAAGGGGAUCCUCUGAGGGCGGCUAGAGCCCUUUCAGGGUGAUCCCCACCGUGGAGGGGACAGAGGCCUGACAGGAGAAUGCCCGUCUGUGGCCCAAGCAGCCACCGAGGGUCUGUGCCUGGGCCGGGUCUCCACGGCCAGCUCCUCGACGGCCAUGCCCAGGGAGCCCAGCCUCCUGCUGCUGAAGCCGGCCAAUCAACUGCGCAUACGCGGGCUCUCUGGAGCCUCGCAACGCCCGCUCCCUUUGCUAAGGAACUUGACCGCGAGGCUCUCAGGGAGCGGGCGCGCCCUCUGGCGGUACCUAGGCGCAAGCACAAGCUGUGACCGGUGAUUUCCUGAGGCGGCUGUGGCCCAUGUUUUCCAGUGGGUCCUUCAGACGCUUGGAUGACAGGAAGGAACAAGGAAGGACGGAGGGAGGAAGCCUCUCUCCAUCCUGAGACACACCUUUCCAAACACAAGAUCACGAGAAGACUCGAUCAGGAACUCAUUUGACACUUGGAGGAAAAAUGGCCAAAGAGCUCAGAGAAGGUGCUCAGGCCUCUAACAGGACCACCCUUCCACCCCCCUGCCCCCAGUGCUCAUGAUCAAGAAGAGGAGAGUUGUUUGGGAGAACAGGACCGACUCCACUGCAGACUUUAUGGCCAACUCGCCACUGACUCAUUGCCAGUUGAGCGGUGUAUUUUGGCAUACCAGCACUUCAUCUUCUGGCUUCCACUCUUUUUCCUGGGGAGUCCAACCCCGGGAGCCGGGGGCAUGGUUGGCCAAGGGGGGGGUGGUGUUCUUCGGG